UUUUAUUAAAUAGUUUAAAAUAUUGUAAUUUUAUAAUAUAAUGAUAGUUUAUAAACAAGUUUAAAAUUUUAUUUAUAUUUAAUUUUAUUAGUAAAAUAUAGUAUUAUUAGUUAAUCGUAGAUAAAAGGCUUAAAUACCUAUUUAGUCCCCAAGUUUGGGGCUGAAUUUCCGUUUCAUACCCGGUCUUAAAAGUGAUUUAAUUAUGUCCUCAAGUUUUUUAUUUUGCUUGCAAUCGGUCCCUUCCGUUAACUAAGAUGUAACGAUGUUAAUUUUUCUUCUCUCUCCUCUGUUGUUUCUCUUCUUUUUCCAUUACAACAUGAUUAUAACUACCUCUCUCUCUCACCUUUUUUCUCUCUCAUUAUUUAUUUCUUCUCUCUCCCGUGCCAACACAACAAAAUGAUAAGGUCUCUUUCAAAAGGUUUCUAUGACCUCCCCCUCACCCA
rnacentral:lncRNA from 1 species